GCCCAGGUGGUGAAAUUGGUAGACGCAGGGGACUCAAAAUCCCCCGCCGCAAGGCGUGCCGGUUCGAUUCCGGCCCUGGGCACCA
rnacentral:tRNA from 508 species